rnacentral:rRNA from 1 species
UACGGAGGGUGCAAGCAUUAAUCGGAAUUAUUGGGCGUAAAGGGCGCGUAGGCGGAAAAGAAAGUCAGACGUGAAAUCCCGGGGCUUAACCUCGGAACUGCAUUUGAAACUUCUUUUCUAGAGGAUAGACGGAGAAAGCGGAAUUCCACAUGUAGCGGUGAAAUGCGUAGAUAUGUGGAAGAACACCGGUGGCGAAGGCGGCUUUCUAGUUUACUCCUGACGCUGAGGCGCGAAAGCAAGGGGAUCAAACAGG